rnacentral:rRNA from 1 species
AGCAUCCGCGGUAAUUCCAGCUCCAAUAGCGUAUAUUAAAGUUGUUGCAGUUAAAAAGCUCGUAGUUGAAUUUCGGGGUCAGUAGGUCGGUCGUGCCACUGGUAUGAACUGGUUUUACUGAUUCCUCCCUCUUGAAGAACUGUAAUGCCAUUAAUUUGGUGUUGCAGGGAAUCAGGACUGUUACUUUGAAAAAAUUAGAGUGUUUAAAGCAGGCUUUAGCUUGAAUACAUUAGCAUGGAAUAAUGAAAUAGGACGUUUGAUCCUAUUUUGUUGGUUUCUAGGAUUGACGUAAUGAUUAAUAGGGAUAGUUGGGGGCAUUAGUAUUCAAUUGUCAGAGGUGAAAUUCUUGGAUUUAUUGAAGACUAACUACUGCGAAAGCAUUUGCCAAGGAUGUUUUCAUUAAUCAAGAACGAAAGUUAGGGGAUCGAAGACGAUCAGAUACCGUACGUAGUCUUAACCAUAAACUAUGCCGACUAGGGAUCGGAUGAUGUUAAUUUUUUAAUGACUCA